AUUGAACGCUGGCGGCAGGCCUAACACAUGCAAGUCGAACGAGUGGCGGACGGGUGAGUAAUGUCUGGGAAACUGCCUGAUGGAGGGGGAUAACUACUGGAAACGGUAGCUACUACCGCAUACCAUCAGAUGUGCCCAGAUUGGAUUAGCUAGUUGGUGGGGUAACGGCUUACCAGGGCGACGAUCCCUAGCUGGUCUGAGAGGAGGACCAGCCACACUGGAACUGAGACACGGUCCAGACUCCUACGGGAGGCAGCAGUGGGGAAUAUUCCGCAAUGGGCGCAAGCCUGAUGCAGCCAUGCCGCGUGUAUGAUGAAGGCCUUCGGGUUGUAAAGUACUUUCAGCGGGGAAGCGUUACCCGCAGAGGAAGCAACGGCUAACUCCGUGCCAGCAGCCGCGGUAAUUC
rnacentral:rRNA from 1 species